rnacentral:rRNA from 1 species
UACGUAGGGUGCAAGCGUUGUCCGGAAUUAUUGGGCGUAAAGAGCUCGUAGGCGGUUUGUUGCGUCGGCUGUGAAAUCCCGAGGCUCAACCUCGGGUCUGCAGUCGAUACGAGCAAACUAGAGUGUUGCAGGGGAGACUGGAAUUCCUGGUGUAGCGGUGAAAUGCGCAGAUAUCGAGGAGGAACAUCCGGUGGCGAAGGCGGUCUGC